AACGAACGCUGGCGGCAUGCCUAACACAUGCAAGUCGAACGAGACCUUCGGGUCUAGGGGCGCACGGGUGCGUGACGCGGGGGAAGCUGCCCUUAGGUUCGGAAUAACUCCCCGAAAGGGGUGCUAAUACCAGAUAAUGUCUUAGCGCCAAAGAUUUUUUGCCUUUGGAUGGGCCCGCGUUGGAUUAGCUGGUUGGUAGGGUAAAAGCAUACCAAGGCGACGAUGCAUAGCUGGUCUGAGAGGAUGAUCAGCCACACUGGGAAUGAGACACGGCCCAGACUCCUACGGGAGGGAGCAGUGGGGAAUAUUGGACGAGGGGCGAAAGCCUGAUCCAGCAAUGCCGGGUGAGUGAUGAAGGCCUUAGGGUUGUAAAGCUCUUUUACCCGGGAUGAUAAUGACAGUACCGGGAGAAUAAGCUCCGGCUAACUACGUG
rnacentral:rRNA from 1 species